UACGUAGGUGGCGAGCGUUGUCCGGAUUUACUGGGCGUAAAGAGCGCGCAGGCGGUCGUUCAAGUCGCGUGUGAAAGCCCCCGGCUCAACUGGGGAGGGUCACGCGAUACUGAUCGACUCGAAGGCAGGAGAGGGUAGUGGAAUUCCCGGUGUAGUGGUGAAAUUCGUAGAUAUCAGGAAGAACACCCGUGGCGAAGGCGGCUCUCUGGGAGCGGUACUGACGCUGAGACGCGAAAGCGUGGGGAGCGAACAGG
rnacentral:rRNA from 1 species